rnacentral:rRNA from 1 species
UGAACGCUGGCGGCGUGCCUAAUACAUGCACGUCGCGCGAACAGACGCGGAGCUUGCUCCUCUGACGUUAGCGGCGGACGGGUGAGUAACACGUGGAUAACCUACCUAUAAGACUGGGAUAACUUCGGGAAACCGGAGCUAAUACCGGAUAAUAUAUUGAACCGCAUGGUUCAAUAGUGAAAGACGGUUUUGCUGUCACUUAUAGAUGGAUCCGCGCCGCAUUAGCUAGUUGGUAAGGUAACGGCUUACCAAGGCAACGAUGCGUAGCCGACCUGAGAGGGUGAUCGGCCACACUGGAACUGAGACACGGUCCAGACUCCUACGGGAGGCAGCAGUAGGGAAUCUUCCGCAAUGGGCGAAAGCCUGACGGAGCAACGCCGCGUGAGUGAUGAAGGUCUUCGGAUCGUAAAACUCUGUUAUUAGGGAAGAACAAAUGUGUAAGUAACUAUGCACGUCUUGACGGUACCUAAUCAGAAAGCCACGGCUAACUACGUG